UCAAAACAUCAUUGUUUGUGUUUAUGGGAAAAUGAAGGCCCAUGGAAGGGGCCACUGAAGUGCUUAGUUGGGGUGGGGAAAGGAUGAGGGGCCCAGGGGCUAAACACUUUCUCCACUUGUAGUGGGUCUGCAAGGUGAUUCGAGAGCCCUUGGGGGAAGGAGGGGUGGGAGGUGUGAGUAGGAAACAGCCCAAAGAGAGCCACGAAAAGGACAUGAAAAAGGCCUUGAGUCUAAAUGGAGCAGUUCAUUAAUACUGCAGAGCCAGAAAACAACAAAAAUGACUAAGGAGUCUACCAAAUCCUGACACCCCCAUCAGCUCAAAAUUAAGAAAAGAUGUUUUCAGGGCACCUGGGUGGCUCAGUUGGUUAAGUGUGCCAUUUGGUUCAGGUCAUAAUCUCACAGUUGGUGGGUUCAAGACCUACAUUGGGCUUUGUGCUGUUAGCUCAGAGCCUGGAGCCUGCUUUGGAUUCUGUGUGUAUGUCUCUCUCUCUGCCCCUCCCCAACUUGUGCUCACUUUCUCUCUCUCUCUCUCUCUCUCUCUCCCUCCCUCUCUCAAAAAUAAAUACACAUUAAAGAUUUUUUUAAUAUAAAAAAAAUAAAAAAUGCUUCCAAUAGUCACUACCACCCCAAACUGUAUGCCUGGGCUAUCUUUCCAGUUUAUUUAGUUUGCAAAUUGAGUGAAAAGAUCACAUAUGCCCAAAGAGUAGAUUCCUGCCCUUUGUAUGACAUUCCAGAGCAGUGUUGCUCAUGAAUUCAACACUUACCUGAUCUCUCAAUGCCAGGGUUUUGUCCAGAGCCAGACAUAACCAAUGAGAAUGAGCCAUGGUUAUUACCCCAAUGGGACAUAUGUCUUUGCUAACAAAAAACACAAUCUAAUCAAUAGAAUGCAGGGAGCUGCUGCAGUCAGAGUCAGAACCAACACUUUGGAGCAGAGUACCACAGACUGGGUCUUAAACAACAGAUAUUUAUUUUCUCACAGCUCUUUGGCUGGAAGUCCCAGGUCAAGGUGUCAACAUGGUCAAUUUCUCCUGAGGCUUCUCUCCUUGGCUGGCAGAUGGUCAUCUUCUCCCAAUGUCCUCACGUGGUCUUUCCUCUGUGCCUUCUUGUCUUAUAAAGACACCAAUCCUAUUGGAUUGGGGCCCACCCACAGGACUUCAUUUAACCUUAAUCACCUCUUUAAAGACCCCAUCUUCAAAUAAAAUCACAUUCUAAGGUACCAAGGGUUAGGAUUUCAACAUAUGAAUUGGCAGGUGGGGAGCAGGGAACAAUUCAGUCCACAAAGGGGGCCUGAGUGGGAAAAAUGAACUCAACCUCAGGAUCACAACUUGAAUGAACAUUAGAGGGAUAGGUUCAUGAAAAAGUAUGCCAGUAUGAAAUAUGACACUUUGGAGGUAGACAGGAAGCAAAAGGCAGUUCUGAUUGGAGGAGUUAGAAAAAAAAUGCCCUUUAAGUAUUUAAAUUGGCCCCAUGAUAAGCUGGGGAGUAGUGGAGAUGUUGCAUUUGAGCAGAUAGCUGAUCCUACAAUUGCCACCUCAGGAGUUUCCUUGGAGAGGCUGGGAUGGUCAGGCUGGCCUCCAGAACCAUUUGUCCAACUUGACUUCACUCUUUUAAAAAGAAGGAACAUUGAACAUUGAAACACACAAAAACAUUUUUUUUUCUAAUGUAAAAGACAAUGAAUGGCUCAAUGCUAUAGGACUUGAUCUCAUUACUCUUGCUCUUCCCAUGGGAAUGAGAUGCUUUCUGCUGGCAUGUAUGCAUUGUAGGUGCAGGAUAAGAAGAGAGCCUUGAGAUGAAUGGGCUGCUCGGAAUUUGUUUUUCUAAUUCAUCCUCCCAUAAAAGGUUGCCAUGGCUGAUCCCUCCCCCAGACCAGCCUGCAGCCUGCAGCCAAGCCUGGCACAGCCUUUCAAGUCAUUGCCAAGAAAAGCAAGAGAAGUGGAUGCACCAGGAAAAGAAAAAAAAAGCAUAUCACCCGCCUCUGGGGAUAACUCCUCCCUCUGGGUAGUUACUCAAUGGAGUCAACAAAUGUCGGCACAAGUCUUGCUCUGGUCACUCAGGGAAAAAGAAUGAAAGAGACACAGUUCUCAUCAAAGGGUAGUGGGAAGAUCAGACAACUAAACAAUAGGGGAAAUGCUCAAUGGGAAGCGCCAGAAUAGAGGCGUGCGUCAUGCACCGGGGGUCAUGGUAGUUGGAAAGGGUGAGGUUGGGGAUCUUAACCUACCAGGGAAAGGGUCAUCAAGCUUGACCUCAGCCUCAAAGAAUGAUAAAAAUGGCAAUUAUAACACCUUAUGUCCUUGGAAGGUUUACAUGUGCCAGGCACCAUGCUAAAUUCUUCCUAUGCAUUAAUAUUUUACAGAUGUGUAAGCGAGAGUUAGAAAUGCCAGGUGACUCUUCCAAGGACACACAGGUAAUAGUGGCAGAAUUACAUCUUGGGGGCACAGAGAAGGCAUGAAGUCAAUAUCUGUGGAAUUAAAAUGAGUUGAUCCCAGGCCUGGCUGACUCUGGUAUGCUUUAAUCUCCUGCUAUGUGAAGGCAGGUGGGGUAGAGGUAAGGGAUAGGAAGGAUAACUCUGGCACGUGUGUGACAGCAGGGAGAUGCCAGCAGGCAGAGUUCAGGGGACUGCAGAAGGACUGGAACACAAGAGAGGAUGAGAAAUGAGGUAGGGAAUGUGGGCAGAGCCCAAGAGUGAUGGUGAAUUUCAUGUGUCACCUUGCCUGGGCCAUAGGACACCCAGGGAACUGAUUAAACACUUUCAGGGUAUGACUGUGAGAGUGUGUCCAGGGGAGAUUAGCACCAGAAUCAGUGGCCUGAGAAAAGCAGAUCACCCUCCCCAGCAUGAGUGGGCAUUGUCCAGUCUGUUGAAGGCCUGAACAGAAACAAAAGGUGGAGGAAGGAAGGACUCACUCUCUCAGCCUGACUGUAAGCUGGGACUUGGACCUCCUGCAUGUAGCUCUUCUGGCUUUCUGCCUCUCUCUCAGUCCUUCAGACACCACCAGCCUUCCUGGGUCUCUUGUUUGCAAAUGGCAGAUCAUGGGGCUUCUCAGCCUCCAUAAUCAUAGAGAGAGACAGCGUGUGAGCAGGGAAGGAGCAGAGAGAGAGAGACGCACACAGAAUGCGAAGCAGGCUCCAGGCUCUGAGCUGUCAGCACAGAGCCUGACGUGGGGCUCACACUCACAAACUUUAAGAUCAUGACCUGAGCUGAAGCGGGAUGCUCAACCCACUGAAGCCACCCAGGCACCCCUACAUGCUGCCUGGUUUUAUAUGGCCUGUGAAUGAAGAAUUGUUUUUACAUUUUCAGAUGGCUAGAAGAUUCAAAAGAAUAAUAAUAUUUGUGACAUGUGAAAAUUAUAUGAAAGUCAAAUUUCUGUCUCCAUAAAGUUUUAUUAGAACACAG